rnacentral:misc_RNA from 1 species
AAGUCGUAACAAGGUUUCCGUAGGUGAACCUGCGGAAGGAUCAUUAUUACGUUAUCCAACGUCAAAACCCAAUUGUGAAAUUGUGUAAUCGGAGUUUAGUUGGUUGGUUAAAGAGGUGUUCAUGUCCUUAGUUGUGGACUCUAACCAAUCCUUUGAUGUAAAAAGUCAAGAACUCUGUUCAAGAAAUUCCCGUCAUGAACAAAUUUCGCCAUUUUUAACUUUUUAACCCCAUGUACAAAAUUGAACUAACUUUUUGUUCAAGAAACUUAAUUGUUUCUUGGAUCAAAUAAUCUGAAAUUAAGAAAAACAACUCUUAACAACGGAUAUCUUGGUUCUC